AUUGAACGCUGGCGGCAGGCUUAACACAUGCAAGUCGAGCGGAGAUGAGGUGCUUGCACCUUAUCUUAGCGGCGGACGGGUGAGUAAUGCUUAGGAAUCUGCCUAUUAGUGGGGGACUACAUUCCGAAAGGGAUGCUAAUACCGCAUACGUCCUACGGGAGAAAGCAGGGGAUCUUCGGACCUUGCGCUAAUAGAUGAGCCUAAGUCGGAUUAGCUAGUUGGUGGGGUAAAGGCCUACCAAGGCGACGAUCUGUAGCGGGUCUGAGAGGAUGGUCCGCCACACUGGGACUGAGACACGGCCCAGACUCCUACGGGAGGCAGCAGUGGGGAAUAUUGGACAAUGGGGGGAACCCUGAUCCAGCCAUGCCGCGUGUGUGAAGAAGGCCUUAUGGUUGUAAAGCACUUUAAGCGAGGAGGAGGCUACUGAGAUUAAUACUCUUGGAUAGUGGACGUUACUCGCAGAAUAAGCACCGGCUAACUCUGUGCCAGCAGCCGCGGUAACAC
rnacentral:rRNA from 1 species